rnacentral:lncRNA from 1 species
UUCCUUUGCUUUUCUACAAAACACAACCCAAGAAUUCACUUCUAAAGCCACAGAAAUACCAAUCAAUGUUGACAAACACAAACAAUAAGCCAAUUUAGUAUAAGACUUUCCUUCUCCCAUUACUUCAAAUCCUUGAAAAACAUUCACAACUCCUACAACCACACAAGCAUAACCAACAAAAUGAUGAUAAGAUAUCUGUCGUCUUAGGCCUAAAAAACAGUGCCAAUGUUUGUAACAUGCCCAAUACAUUCACUACCCCUAAAACAACACAAGCAUAACCAACAAAAUGGUGAUAAGAUUUCCAAUAUCUCCUAAAUUUAUUUGUCGUCUUAGGCCUAAAAAACAAUGCCAAUGUUUG